rnacentral:lncRNA from 1 species
GCAAAAGUUUUGAUACUGUAUUUUUACAAGUUGGUAUUUAGAGGCACGUAAAAGUUGUCUUUUUUGGCGAAAGUGAGAGGUGGUCCGCGUCCUUAUACACUUUUUAAUGAAAUUUGCUACUCUAGACUGCCAAAUGCUAAAUGCGAAUUUAUCAUUUUCUUACCCUACUGUUUAGAUCUAUUUUAUCAAAAGUACUUCAAAAUGACAAAACAUUUGCCAUUUUAAAAGAUCUAAACACGCCCUAAACUAGAGCAACAAAACAAACUAGCCAUUCUGCUAUAAUCAGACUGGGCGGCACGGGAAGGUCAAACAAACCAAAAGAAAAAGGGUUAAUUGAUUCCAUGCCACUGUAAAUAUGGCUAUUUAAAAAAAUGUCACUACAAUUCACGUAUUCGGGUGGGUGCCACCACAAUUUUUUAAAAUCAGAUCCAUGCCACUGCCGUGACUUUUCCGUCCAUCUCACACUUCCUUCCGUUUUCUUCCGUCCGACUCGUCACCACCUCCGGUAAGACGUCAGCUGCGGAGGCGAAGACGACGACGGAGCCGACGGCUCCAGCAGCGGGGUCGGUGACCGGCGGAAUGGGCGGGGGGCUUGGACAGGAGCACGAAGAGCGUCGUGAGCGCGGAUAUCCCGGCCGGCGAGGAGGAAGCUGACGACGAUGUCGCGAAGGAACUUGUCCUCCGCGGCGCCAUGCGCGUCUCCGGCCGAGGCCAUGAACCGGGACAGGAGGUCGUGGCUGNNN